rnacentral:rRNA from 1 species
GAUGAACGCUGGCGGCGUGCCUAAUACAUGCAAGUCGAGCGAACAGACGAGGAGCUUGCUCCUCUGACGUUAGCGGCGGACGGGUGAGUAACACGUGGAUAACCUACCUAUAAGACUGGGAUAACUUCGGGAAACCGGAGCUAAUACCGGAUAAUAUAUUGAACCGCAUGGUUCAAUAGUGAAAGACGGUUUUGCUGUCACUUAUAGAUGGAUCCGCGCCGCAUUAGCUAGUUGGUAAGGUAACGGCUUACCAAGGCGACGAUGCGUAGCCGACCUGAGAGGGUGAUCGGCCACACUGGAACUGAGACACGGUCCAGACUCCUACGGGAGGCAGCAGUAGGGAAUCUUCCGCAAUGGGCGAAAGCCUGACGGAGCAACGCCGCGUGAGUGAUGAAGGUCUUCGGAUCGUAAAACUCUGUUAUUAGGGAAGAACAAAUGUGUAAGUACCUAUGCACGUCUUGACGGUACCUAAUCAGAAAGCCACGGCUAACUACGUG